rnacentral:rRNA from 1 species
GACGAACCGAGCGAACGUUAUUCGGAAUCACUGGGCUUAAAGGGUGCGUAGGCGGGCUGUCAAGUCUGGGGUGAAAUCCGGCAGCUUAACUGUCGAACUGCCUUAGAUACUGAUGGCCUCGAGGAAGGUAGGGGCAUGCGGAACUGUAGGUGGAGCGGUGAAAUGCGUUGACAUCUACAGGAACUCCGGUGGCGAAAGCGGCGUGCUGGACCUUUUCUGACGCUGAGGCACGAAAGCUAGGGGAGCAAACGGG